rnacentral:rRNA from 1 species
AUGAAAUACAUCAAGAAGCCAAGAAAAAUAAGUUUGGAUGCAAUGAUUCAAGAGAAUGCAGGACAGCAAGAAGCCAAGAGAAAUAAGUUAAGGUUCAAGAGUGGAUACAGAGAGAGAGAACAAAAGAGGGACUGGGGGGAAAGGGGAGCGGCCGUCCUACUCCGCUGCCGCAGCUGGCGGCCCAUGCCGCCGCCGUGUUCUUCUCCCCCUCCGCCAUCUCCCCUCCUCUGCUUUGGCUGGGCCACGGGGGUGCACACCAGCAAACCCGAUGCCUCCUCUCGCUAUCUCUCUCACAUGGAGAACAAACAAGGGCCAACCACGGAGAUGAGGUGA